rnacentral:rRNA from 1 species
ACUCCUACGGGAGGCAGCAGUGGGGAAUAUUGGACAAUGGGGGCAACCCUGAUCCAGCAAUACCGCGUGUGUGAAGAAGGCCUGCGGGUUGUAAAGCACUUUCAGUAGGGAAGAAAAGCAGAUGGUUAAUACCCAUCAGUCUUGACGUUACCUACAGAAGAAGCACCGGCUAACUCCGUGCCAGCAGCCGCGGUAAUACGGAGGGUGCGAGCGUUAAUCGGAAUUACUGGGCGUAAAGCGCAUGCAGGUGGUUUGUUAAGUCAGAUGUGAAAGCCCGGGGCUCAACCUCGGAAUAGCAUUUGAAACUGGCAGACUAGAGUACUGUAGAGGGGGUAGAAUUUCAGGUGUAGCGGUGAAAUGCGUAGAGAUCUGAAGGAAUACCGGUGGCGAAGGCGGCCCCCUGGACAGAUACUGACACUCAGAUGCGAAAGCGUGGGGAGCAAACAGGAUUAGAUACCCUGGUAGGAUAG